AGUCGGGCAGCCCGUUACUCUGACCCCGAUGGACAUGGGCCGUCUAAGCAUCGUUCAGGUCAGACUUCUUACAAGGCCCGUGCGUGAAUUAUUGCUGAAGAAACAGGAGAGUCUAUUCCUGAUUUGCUUGGGGUUCUCGAGAUCACUAAACGAAAGCCGGAUGGGUCUUUCGUUGACGGCAAAUCUGAGCAGCUCUACAAUGACGUGACAUCUAAAUUUCAGGAGUUAUCUCAGGCAGCUAGUGAUGAUCCCGAGAGCACUGGUUCUGUUGGUCUCACUCCAGCAGAAAAGAACAAGAUUUAUUGUGAGCUUGCUCCCCGCAAAAAGCGACGAAUUUAUGGAGUGGGUUCUCUAAAUCAAUCUGUAGGAUCCGUUUCUGCAUCUUUUCCUUCUUCUAGCAGUUCUGAGGACCAGUCUUUGAAGAAGAUCAUCAAGGAACAAGCUCUUGUGAUUCAGAGCCAGGGAAAUGAAAUCGGGAGGCUGAGUGCUGCUGUUUGUUAUCUAGCUACCAAAGAUUCUACCUUGGCGAACAUUCUUCAGUCCGAAGAUGUGCCUUCUUCCCACAACUCCGAGGGCAUGUCUCAUGACUCUAGAGAUGAUGAAUCUGAUGCUAUUUAGUUUGUUGCUAUCUUUGUUAUGAAUGUUAAAACUUUGUGUGUUUGUAUUUCUUUGUAUCGAAUCUUGAAUUUUUUCUAUUUCAGUAAUAUUUUCGAUAA